UACGUAGGUGGCGAGCGUUAUCCGGAAUUAUUGGGCGUAAAGAGCGCGCAGGUGGUUGAUUAAGUCUGAUGUGAAAGCCCACGGCUUAACCGUGGAGGGUCAUUGGAAACUGGUCGACUUGAGUGCAGAAGAGGGAAGUGGAAUUCCAUGUGUAACGGUGAAAUGCGUAGAGAUAUGGAGGAACACCAGUGGCGAAGGCGGCUUCCUGGUCUGUAACUGACACUGAGGCGCGAAAGCGUGGGGAGCAAACAGGAUUAGAUACCCU
rnacentral:rRNA from 1 species